ensembl:lncRNA
AUGGGAUUUCCCCCCCCCCCCCCNNNNNNNNNNNNNNNNNNNNNNNCCCCCCCCCCCAAUUAUCCACUGAUUCUAUUUCUACACAUUGGUAGUGUUUUCAUCUGGUUUGUUCUUUCUUCUGUGCAUGUUUAUGCUCUGUUUACUUUUCUUCAAAACAUCCCCUCUGGCUGGAAAGGUGAAUUUUCCAUGUUAACUUCUAAUAAAGGAGGAAAAUACAGGGAACUUCGUGUAGCUACAGAUUCCUGCUCGGGUAACUACCAGUGUUCUCCAGUCUGCUGUGCACCGAUGAAAAUUAUUUUGCCAUGGAGGGCAGAUAAUGCAUGGCUGAUCUCCUAUGUUACCAAUGGCUUUACUAGCAAAAAUACCCUAAACUAGAGCGGAACCAUUACAAUUGGAGUUCUCCAUGUGACUUAAAAGGCACUUGGAGGAACAUGGACAGACUCCAGCAGCUGCCAUUCCAGGACGCUUUUGCCAGAAACCCAAUGACCUUAAGAGAACCCUGUGGUAACAGGGCUGGAAAAGAAAGAUGGUUUACAGAGUUGACCGCCUGUUAUCGGAUGGCCAUUUCAGUUUUCCCUCCACAGGCGGCAGACUUUACCCCCUUUUUAUUAUUCUACUGUAACUAUAAAUCUUUUACUUGGUUUAAGAAAGUUUUUUGUAUCAUUUUGCUAAAAUUAUUGGCUUAAUUCUCUGUAAAGAACUCUUGAUUUUGUCUGAUUUAAAAAUGUAGUAUAUAAACAAACCUAAACUACAGACAUUGACUCGCAAUUCCUUGUUUAAAAAAAUUAGUUUGGCAGGGAACAUCUAAGUGAAUCAAAACCAUCUGACUUUAUUUAAAAUGUUUACUUAUUUGUAUGGUCCCAUUCUGACUGAGACGGUUUUCUCAUGAAAUUUUUAAAACUGCUAGAAUUUUACUUUGCUGUUUGCUGUCUUCAUUCACACUUAACAUUUAACUUUCCAUGUAACAAAAAGAAUUUUUAAUGCUAGUUCUUUUUCAUAAAAGAGGAAAACUAAAUACCCUGCAGGAGAGUCUAAGUAUAGUAGAGAUGGUGAUAAUGGAUUUCUUUCUUUGUAAAGAAUAUGAGGGACAAAGUGGAAGACUGGCAUUUGAGGGAUUUAGAAUUUGAAAGAUUGUCCUAUCUCUCUGCUUAGUUUGGGUAAAUGGAUAGUUUAAAACAUUGGUUUUAUUGGUAAAAUUUUGUUUCCUGCACUCUGAGGCUGGUUAGCUUAGAGGGUAUUGCAAGUGGAAAAUACACAUUGCUUCUGAAUCUUCAGUGAAUUUGAAUGUUUCAUUCAGCAUCUACACGUUUAAAAAGAAAUAAAUAAAUAGAUGCAGGCCUUCUGUUUCAUGCCAAGACUCAAAAAAGGAAUUCUUCUUAAAAAAACAAACAAACAACAGAACAACCUAUUCUUGCUGUGAGAAUUUUUACAAUUCAGGUGCAUACCAUAUUUAAUUCUCAACUGUAUUGAACCUGAGUAUGCCCAGAAUCAUUAGCUAGGAAUGAAUGACUCAACAUGCUUAGGUUGUCCAAAAACUGUUGCAGGUGCUGCUAACACCUGUUGGUUAUGGAAUAUGGGAGAUUCUUCAUAUUGUUUGUUACUGUAAACGGUCUCAUAAAAUAAAAGUAGGUAUGCUGUCCUCAUAGUACUUGGAACAUUAUCAGAAGUACUGUUUAUACUAGUAUGACUGAAAUAAUGGGAAGUUCCAUGUUGGAAAUGAAAAGUAUAUACAGAGAUUUUGUUUGAACAGUUAGCUAUUUUGAGAAAUUCUUCCUUGCUUGAAAACAGAUUUUUUUUUUUUAAAGGCCUAUUGGUCUUCAAAGUUUUAUGAAGAGUAAUUUUUAUUGUUUUGGUGCUUACAAAUUCAGAUUUGCCCCUCUCAAAAGUCCACGUAUUAAGUAUUAGUCGCUCUUCUUUGGAUGCUUUCAGAACAUUAGCUACUUGCUUGUGUGUACUCUGGGUCUUGACUGGGGAAAACCUGUGUUUGGGGAGAGUAUAGUGGAAAAGCUUAAGAGUUUGAUCCAUGGAUAAGUUUGCAUAAGAGAAUUAUUUCCUCAGUUACUAUAAACUUCAGUAUUUUAGGCUUGUGCACUACCAUGUGAACAGUUCUACACUUCACUGUGCAUUCCUUGUAAAUAUCUGUGGUUAAUAAUGUACUGUUAGAGGGACUCACAAAGGCAGCCUCUUUCUCUGUAUCUGGAACAUUAGAUUGCUGUACUAUACUUAAAAGUUGACUGCAGACUUCUAGAAUUGUACUCACUUGUGGGCAAUUUUUGUCCUUCAUAAUAGUUAAAUUCCAUCAUGCGGAAAAUAGACUGUCUGUAUAAACCUGUGUAUUGGAAACCAGUAUUUCAGAGCACUUCAUUUGUACUACCACUGUAUUUGUGUACUUUAACAAUUGUGUAAAUACAUUCAUAAUAACUUCUAUUCUUCUUUGGUGUAACUUACUUGCAAUGAAUCCCUACUCUUGGUGUAACUUCUUUCUUUCCUCCUUUUUUUUUUUUUAAGGGGUUUCUGUACUUACAAAGAGCACUGUGAGUUGCAAACAUUUGUCAUGGUACUAAAACUUUCACUUGAAGCAUUUUUGGUAGUCCUGGUCAGAAUGCAGCAGUUAGGGUAUACAGGAAGAAAGGCUCUCGUUGCGUUGCUCACAGAAAGCACGUCUUUUGUCUGUUUAAAGGUAAAUGGUUUUUGUUUGGCUA